rnacentral:rRNA from 1 species
CCUACGGGAGGCAGCAGUGGGGAAUAUUGGACAAUGGGGGGAACCCUGAUCCAGCGACGCCGCGUGAGUGAAGAAGUAUUUCGGUAUGUAAAGCUCUAUCAGCAGGGAAGACAGAAAUGACGGUACCUGACUAAGAAGCACCGGCUAACUACGUGCCAGCAGCCGCGGUAAGACGUAGGGGGCAAGCGUUAGCCGGAUUUACUGGGUGGAAAGGGAGCGUAGACGGCGAUGCAAGUCUGAAGUGAAAGGCGGGGGCCCAACCCCCGGACUGCUUUGGAAACUGUAUGGCUGGAGUGCAGGAGAGGUAAGUGGAAUUCCUAGUGUAGCGGUGAAAUGCGUAGAUAUUAGGAGGAACACCAGUGGCGAAGGCGGCUUACUGGACUGUAACUGACGUUGAGGCUCGAAAGCGUGGGGAGCAAACAGGAUUAGAUACCCCAGUAGUC